GCUCAGGAUGAACGCUAGCUACAGGCUUAACACAUGCAAGUCGAGGGGCAGCAUUUUAGUUUGCUUGCAAACUGAAGAUGGCGACCGGCGCACGGGUGAGUAACACGUAUCCAACCUGCCGAUAACUCCGGAAUAGCCUUUCGAAAGAAAGAUUAAUACCGGAUAGCAUACGAAUAUCGCAUGAUAUUUUUAUUAAAGAAUUUCGGUUAUCGAUGGGGAUGCGUUCCAUUAGUUUGUUGGCGGGGUAACGGCCCACCAAGACAACGAUGGAUAGGGGUUCUGAGAGGAAGGUCCCCCACAUUGGAACUGAGACACGGUCCAAACUCCUACGGGAGGCAGCAGUGAGGAAUAUUGGUCAAUGGGCGAGAGCCUGAACCAGCCAAGUAGCGUGAAGGAUGAAGGCUCUAUGGGUCGUAAACUUCUUUUAUAUGGGAAUAAAGUUUUCCACGUGUGGAAUUUUGUAUGUACCAUAUGAAUAAGGAUCGGCUAACUCCGUGCCAGCAGCCGCGGUAAUACGGAGGAUCCGAGCGUUAUCCGGAUUUAUUGGGUUUAAAGGGAGCGUAGGUGGAUUGUUAAGUCAGUUGUGAAAGUUUGCGGCUCAACCGUAAAAUUGCAGUUGAAACUGGCAGUCUUGAGUACAGUAGAGGUGGGCGGAAUUCGUGGUGUAGCGGUGAAAUGCUUAGAUAUCACGAAGAACUCCGAUUGCGAAGGCAGCUCACUAGACUGUCACUGACACUGAUGCUCGAAAGUGUGGGUAUCAAACAGGAUUAGAUACCCUGGUAGUCCACACAGUAAACGAUGAAUACUCGCUGUUUGCGAUAUACAGUAAGCGGCCAAGCGAAAGCAUUAAGUAUUCCACCUGGGGAGUACGCCGGCAACGGUGAAACUCAAAGGAAUUGACGGGGGCCCGCACAAGCGGAGGAACAUGUGGUUUAAUUCGAUGAUACGCGAGGAACCUUACCCGGGCUUAAAUUGCAACAGAAUAUAUUGGAAACAGUAUAGCCGUAAGGCUGUUGUGAAGGUGCUGCAUGGUUGUCGUCAGCUCGUGCCGUGAGGUGUCGGCUUAAGUGCCAUAACGAGCGCAACCCUUAUCUUUAGUUACUAACAGGUGAUGCUGAGGACUCUAGAGAGACUGCCGUCGUAAGAUGUGAGGAAGGUGGGGAUGACGUCAAAUCAGCACGGCCCUUACGUCCGGGGCUACACACGUGUUACAAUGGGGGGCACAGAAGGCGGCUACCUGGUGACAGGAUGCUAAUCCCAAAAACCUCUCUCAGUUCGGAUCGAAGUCUGCAACCCGACUUCGUGAAGCUGGAUUCGCUAGUAAUCGCGCAUCAGCCAUGGCGCGGUGAAUACGUUCCCGGGCCUUGUACACACCGCCCGUCAAGCCAUGAAAGCCGGGGGUACCUGAAGUACGUAACCGCAAGGAGCGUCCUAGGGUAAAACUGGUA
rnacentral:rRNA from 1 species